UGGAUCAUUGAUGACCAAUGGUACCUUCUGACUCAUAGGCAAUGGACUCUGGGCCCAGCUUCGUGGUCAAU